GACGAACGCUGGCGGCGUGCUUAACACAUGCAAGUCGAGCGGUAAGGCCCUUUCGGGGGUACACGAGCGGCGAACGGGUGAGUAACACGUGGGUGACCUGCCCUCAGCUCUGGGAUAAGCCUGGGAAACUGGGUCUAAUACUGGAUAUGACUCCACGGUGCAUGUCGUGGGGUGGAAAGCCUUGUGCGGCUGAGGAUGGGCCCGCGGCCUAUCAGCUUGUUGGUGGGGUGANGGCCCACCAAGGCUACGACGGGUAGCUGGUCUGAGAGGAUGUCCAGCCACACUGGGACUGAGACACGGCCCAGACUCCUACGGGAGGCAGCAGUAGGGAAUCUUGCACAAUGGACGAAAGUCUGAUGCAGCGACGCCGCGUGUGGGAUGAAUG
rnacentral:rRNA from 1 species